rnacentral:misc_RNA from 1 species
AGACCACCCCUAGGCCUCCUGCCUAGCGUUGGGGAUCCGCCCAGGCGGUCCCUCAAAGCCCCCAGCAGAGCUGCCGGCGUCCUCUAAGCGUAGUAGUGAUAUCUCGCUUCUGCGGGCGCCGCGGGUCUGGCUGUAGAGACAAGUAGACCACUA